rnacentral:lncRNA from 1 species
AUCAUUCUACUCUCUUGUGGUUUGAACUGUGUGUUCCUCGUAAUUUUGUGAUUUAGAAAAUUAUACUCGAUCUCUGGCACGUGUUAAUCUAUUAACGAAGGCUUCGAACGAGUUACAAUGAUCUGUCUUUAGCUUUCUGCAUCUUACUUUUCUUCUUUUUCUACUUCCUCCCUCCUCCCCUAUUUUCUUUUUUUCACUUCUUCUUACUAUUUUUUUUAUUUGUUUUCGGGGGUCGAGGCUGCUUCCACUUUGCAUGUCUAAUUUAUUUUACUUAAUGAAUGAAGCAGGUAUCUCGCUAUCUAUUUCUCAAAAAAAAAGAAAAUUGCACUCU